GUCCACGCCCUAAACGAUGUCAACUAGUUGUUGGUAGGGUUAAACCUAUUAGUAACGUAGCUAACGCGUGAAGUUGACCGCCUGGGGAGUACGGUCGCAAGAUUAAAACUCAAAGGAAUUGACGGGGACCCGCACAAGCGGUGGAUGAUGUGGAUUAAUUCGAUGCAACGCGAAAAACCUUACCUACCCUUGACAUGUCAGGAAUCCCGUAGAGAUAUGGGAGUGCCGCAAGGAACCUGAACACAGGUGCUGCAUGGCUGUCGU
rnacentral:rRNA from 1 species